rnacentral:rRNA from 1 species
GGAAACAGGAACAUUAAAAAAAAAUCUCUUCAGAUCUCGUCUGAUCUCGGAAGCUAAGCAGGGUCAGAUCUGGUUAGUACUUGGAUGGGAGACAACCUAGAAAGACCAGAUGCUGUAUGCA